rnacentral:rRNA from 1 species
UUGGAGGGCAAGUCUGGUGCCAGCAGCCGCGGUAAUUCCAGCUCCAAUAGCGUAUAUUAAAGUUGUUGCAGUUAAAAAGCUCGUAGUUGAAUUUCGGGAUCAUCAGGUUGGUCGUGCCUCUGGUAUGUACUUUCCUCGAUGGUUCCUCCUUCUUGAAGAACCGUAAUGCCAUUAAUUUGGUGUUGCGGGGAAUCAGGACUGUUACUUUGAAAAAAUUAGAGUGUUUAAAGCAGGCGAUCGCUUGAAUACAUUAGCAUGGAAUAAUGAAAUAGGACGUUCGAUCCUAUUUUGUUGGUUUCUAGGAUUGACGUAAUGAUUAAUAGGGAUAGUUGGGGGCAUUAGUAUUCAAUUGUCAGAGGUGAAAUUCUUGGAUUUAUUGAAGACUAACUACUGCGAAAGCAUUUGCCAAGGAUGUUUUCAUUAAUCAAGAACGAAAGUUAGGGGAUCGAAGACGAUCAGAUACCGUCGUAGUCUUAACCAUAAACUAUGCCGACUAGGGAUCGGAUGAUGUUAAUUUUUUAAUGACUCAUUCGGCGCCUUACGGGAAACCAAAGUGUUUGGGUUC